rnacentral:rRNA from 1 species
UACAGAGGUGGCAAGCGUUGUCCGGAUUUACUGGGUGUAAAGGGUGCGUAGGCGGAUGCAUAAGUCGGGGGUGAAAGCCCGGGGCUCAACCUCGGAAUUGCCUUCGAUACUGUCGGUCUCGAGUCCGGGAGAGGUGAGUGGAAUUCCUAGUGUAGAGGUGAAAUUCGUAGAUAUUAGGAAGAACACCAGUGGCGAAGGUGGCUCACUGGCCCGGUACUGACGCUCAGGUGCGAAAGCGUGGGGAGCAAACAGG